GAGCUCAGUGGUACAGCAUCUGCUUUGCACGCAGAAGGUUCCAGGUUCAACCCUCAACACCUGCAGGUAGGGCU